GAGGCGCAGCGGGAGCGUGGAUGCGAUAACGGGACCCACGAGACGGACGAUCGUGAUGCAUGGAGAUGCAUCAAGAUGUCGACGGAACCGACGAGGACAAGAUGGACGAUCACAGGGCAUGGAGAUGCACCGUUGCACACAUAGAUCUUGAUGUGAGUGAUUAGGCCUACUGGCUCGGGCCUAAUCAUAUUAGGUUGUGGUCCAUGAUCAUCUGGUGUGAUUGCUUAUACACAUACUAGAUAUGUAUAUAUAUUUGCAUGCGAU
rnacentral:lncRNA from 1 species